CCCCAGCCGGGGUUCAUUGAUGGACUUGACAGCCCUACGAAAUGUGCAGCCAAACAGGGCAUGCUGGAUGCAUCCACAAAGCAGUGACCAAAUUAAGAUGAUAAAAAAUGCUUUAAAUGAAAAGGAAUCACAACAACAAUUUUUGGCUCAAGUAGGAGCAACAAUUCUGGACAGAUCAGAUUUUAUUACCUUGGGCCAUCCAAAUGAUGUUGAAGGGACUAUUUUGAAUGCCUGCCUCUCAGUUGUCAGGGAUAUUGCUGACUUAAAGAACAUAAAGGUCCAUUGUUUUAGCUCAUAUGUGACAGUGACAUGGUUGCCACCAUUCUGUGCAGACCCUUCAGCUAACUUACCUGAACAUAUAGCAAGAUGUGACUUCAUCUUACUGCCUUCAUGGGCUACAAACCAUUGGAUGAUAUGUAAAACUUGCACAGCAACUACAUCCUGGGCCGUGGAAGGAGUAUGGACGUGAUGAUCUCAAAGGUGCUCCAAGGCAGAAUUGUUCAAAUAACUGUGGAGUAUUUGUGUUGAUGUACACACUCUAUGUUGUAAUGGGAGGUCUCUUUGAUUUUGCUGAGUCUGACAUGGCUGCAGUAAGGAGAUGGUGGUGCUUGCUCCUGCUAACAAAUUAUCCCGUCAAAUCAGAUGCUGAAAGAAAGCUUCUCAGAAAAAGGCGCAAAGAAAUGAAGACAGGUAUAACUUUAACUAAAAUAGG